rnacentral:rRNA from 1 species
AGGAUGAACGCUAGCUACAGGCUUAACACAUGCAAGUCGAGGGGCAGCAUGGUCUUAGCUUGCUAAGGCCGAUGGCGACCGGCGCACGGGUGAGUAACACGUAUCCAACCUGCCGUCUACUCUUGGACAGCCUUCUGAAAGGAAGAUUAAUACAAGAUGGCAUCAUGAGUCCGCAUGUUCACAUGAUUAAAGGUAUUCCGGUAGACGAUGGGGAUGCGUUCCAUUAGAUAGUAGGCGGGGUAACGGCCCACCUAGUCUUCGAUGGAUAGGGGUUCUGAGAGGAAGGUCCCCCACAUUGGAACUGAGACACGGUCCAAACUCCUACGGGAGGCAGCAGUGAGGAAUAUUGGUCAAUGGGCGAGAGCCUGAACCAGCCAAGUAGCGUGAAGGAUGACUGCCCUAUGGGUUGUAAACUUCUUUUAUAAAGGAAUAAAGUCGGGUAUGCAUACCCGUUUGCAUGUACUUUAUGAAUAAGGAUCGGCUAACUCCGUGCCAGCAGCCGCGGUAAUACGGAGGAUCCGAGCGUUAUCCGGAUUUAUUGGGUUUAAAGGGAGCGUAGAUGGAUGUUUAAGUCAGUUGUGAAAGUUUGCGGCUCAACCGUAAAAUUGCAGUUGAUACUGGAUAUCUUGAGUGCAGUUGAGGCAGGCGGAAUUCGUGGUGUAGCGGUGAAAUGCUUAGAUAUCACGAAGAACUCCGAUUGCGAAGGCAGCCUGCUAAGCUGCAACUGACAUUGAGGCUCGAAAGUGUGGGUAUCAAACAGGAUUAGAUACCCUGGUAGUCCACACGGUAAACGAUGAAUACUCGCUGUUUGCGAUAUACAGCAAGCGGCCAAGCGAAAGCGUUAAGUAUUCCACCUGGGGAGUACGCCGGCAACGGUGAAACUCAAAGGAAUUGACGGGGGCCCGCACAAGCGGAGGAACAUGUGGUUUAAUUCGAUGAUACGCGAGGAACCUUACCCGGGCUUAAAUUGCAGAUGAAUUACGGUGAAAGCCGUAAGCCGCAAGGCAUCUGUGAAGGUGCUGCAUGGUUGUCGUCAGCUCGUGCCGUGAGGUGUCGGCUUAAGUGCCAUAACGAGCGCAACCCUUGUUGUCAGUUACUAACAGGUUCCGCUGAGGACUCUGACAAGACUGCCAUCGUAAGAUGUGAGGAAGGUGGGGAUGACGUCAAAUCAGCACGGCCCUUACGUCCGGGGCUACACACGUGUUACAAUGGGGGGUACAGAGGGCCGCUACCACGCGAGUGGAUGCCAAUCCCAAAAACCUCUCUCAGUUCGGACUGGAGUCUGCAACCCGACUCCACGAAGCUGGAUUCGCUAGUAAUCGCGCAUCAGCCACGGCGCGGUGAAUACGUUCCCGGGCCUUGUACACACCGCCCGUCAAGCCAUGGGAGCCGGGGGUACCUGAAGUGCGUAACCGCGAGGAG